GACAGAGGUGCCGAGCGUUAGGCGGAAUCACUGGGCUUAAAGCGUGUGUAGGCGGAGUUCUAAGUACCUUGUGAAAUCCCACGGCUUAACCGUGGAACUGCUUGGUAUACUGGUUCUCUUGGGCCAUCUAGGGGCUACUGGAACAAACGGUGGAGCGGUGAAAUGCGUAGAUAUCGUUUGGAACGCCAAUGGUGAAAACAAGUAGCUGGGGAUGUGCUGACGCUGAGACACGAAAGCCAGGGGAGCAAACGGG
rnacentral:rRNA from 1 species